rnacentral:lncRNA from 1 species
AGGAUGGAGCAACGAAGAAAGAGUAGCUUGUCAACAGUAGCUUCGAAUUUCUCAGAUUUUUACAAAUGUCGCCAAUAAUCUGCGUGCAUAAAACCUUAAAAUAUAAGCCUGCAGACACUUUACUGUUAAUACUCCCUCUGUCUUUUCACUCUGCAUAUUAGACCUCAUUAGGACAAGCCUUUGACCAACAAAAUAGUAGCAUAAUUGUUGGUAAAAGGUGACACAUAAUUUGCAGGGUAAAAUUCAGAGUGAGUAUAAUAGAUGUGUCAUAAGUGUUGCUAAGCAUGUAACAAACAUUCCACAAAGCAACAACUAAACAUUUUCUUACAAUGUAUAGGAUGAUUGCAUGACAGGUCUGUUUUUUCAGUAGUACAAAGUUAAUGCAAAGAUAAAUUUGAUCACAACCAUAUUAACAAGAACAGACAAGACUCUCGCUAAGACGGUCAAAGGGAGUAAAGUCUGUUUCCAGUAAAAACCUAAAAAUGUCACCCAGUGUUACAUCUUGAUGCAUAGAAAAAUUUGAUUACAACCGUCUUACCAAGAGACAAGUAAGACUCACCAGGAUGGUCAAAGGAAGUAAAAGAGUAGCUUGGUCAAAUCAGAGCUGUUAUGAGCUCUUUAACUUCAGGUUUGUCAGAUUUUUUAAAAUGUCACUGAUGCUCUGCAUGCACAAGACCAUAAAAUAAGCAUGCCAGCAAAUUCAAAUACACACACACACACACACACACACAAUAAAUGUGAUUUUAAGGACAAUACUUCUCCUGGAGAGAGUCGUUGAAGUAGUUCCUGAAUAUGAUCAACUUGGAAACAAGUAACUGGGCCAAAAUGUUGAAAACCGAUGCCAACUAGUUUCCCCAAGCUAUCAAAAACAAGACCUCCAUAACAAGAGUAGAACGUUGGAGAACAAUCACAAAUAAAUUCUCUCGGAUCUGGAAAACUAAUAACAUUAGCCAUGCAUUAGAGUCCAUCAAACAAUGCAAUUAGAAAAUAUAAACACCACAAAAUUAGUGAACUUACUUUACAGAGCCUUCUGUUAUUGAAUGCACAUAGUUUUUGUCAUCGAUACAUCUGAUGACAUAAAGGAAGACUCUUUCAUUUCUAGAAACAUUUGAACCAAGCGGAAUUUCAAUACAUGACUGCACUUCUGUUUUACAAGGAAGCAAAGCCAACAAUGGUGCUUUAGAGGCACUGGUAAUUAGUGUGAAGUCCUCAAAACAAACAUCUUUUGUUCUAGCAGUAUUAAGAAAACGAAGUCGAAAGGAAUAGUUAUCUCGGAUGAGAUCCCCUCCAAACAACAUGACACACAUGUUUGGUUCUAACAUGAUAAUAAUGCCGGAAUAAGUACAGGAAAAUCACUAUCAGGAUCAAGAACAGUGAGCUCAACCACCGAUCUACUGAUUUGAUCUCGAAGAUUUUGAUUAGGAACUACGAGAGCUGAUAAAUGGGACCUAUAGGACCUGCACGAACAACAUAUAGAUUAAUAACUGAACUAGCCUACUGCAAAUCUUGCAACACGUGUAAAAGGAUAUUACCAGCAUGAACGCCCGGCUCAUUUGCAGGCAACAUCCGCCUUCUCUUGGGGACAAAGUGACGCCACAGAAGGCGAUGUUUCAUCAUCGCAAAGAUACGUAACUCUAUUAACUAAGCCUGAAGGAAUAUUUUUAUGAUAUUUUGCGUGUUAAUUGAGAAAAAUUCAUCCAUAUAUAGCAGUAAAGGAACAUCUGUCGAGUAAGAGAAGAUACGCCAGAGGGAAGGAGUUCCGGGCUGGGGUCCGGCGGCCGGAUCUGGAGGGUCUGGCGUGCGGACGAUGACCUCGUAGAGUGCUAGUCGUCUUCGUCGCUGGCCGCUCGGGGUGGAGAAAGGAGUUGACGUCGAUGUACG